UUUCCGUAGGUGAACCUGCGGAAGGAUCAUUAAAGUUAUAGUCCCCCGGCCCUCUGGGCUGGGGUCUUCUAUACCACCCUUUGUUUAUUACACCUUCGUUGCUUUGGCAGGCCUGCCCUCGGGCUGCUGGCUCCGGCCGGCUCGCGUCUGCCAGAGGACCUAAACUCUGUUUGUAUAUGAAGUCUGAGUACUAUAUAAUAGUUAAAACUUUCAACAACGGAUCUCUUGGUUCUG
rnacentral:misc_RNA from 1 species